ACUUAUACGAGAUGUUGGUGCGGUUCAAUUAGAAAGCCGAGCUCGUAACUACUCGAACUCUGUUAUUUGAUUGAGCCGUGCCAAUAUCACGUACAUAACU
rfam:Ipomoea nil DNA, scaffold: scaffold0317, cultivar: Tokyo-kokei standard.